GGUGAACGCUGGCGGUAGGCCUAACACAUGCAAGUCGAACGGCAGCACAGUAAGAGCUUGCUCUUACGGGUGGCGAGUGGCGGACGGGUGAGGAAUACAUCGGAAUCUACUUUUUCGUGGGGGAUAACGUAGGGAAACUUACGCUAAUACCGCAUACGACCUACGGGUGAAAGCAGGGGAUCUUCGGACCUUGCGCGAUUGAAUGAGCCGAUGUCGGAUUAGCUAGUUGGCGGGGUAAAGGCCCACCAAGGCGACGAUCCGUAGCUGUUCUGAGAGGAUGAUCAGCCACACUGGAACUGAGACACGGUCCAGACUCCUACGGGAGGCAGCAGUGGGGAAUAUUGGACAAUGGGCGCAAGCCUGAUCCAGCCAUACCGCGUGGGUGAAGAAGGCCUUCGGGUUGUAAAGCCCUUUUGUUGGGAAAGAAAAGCAGCAGGUUAAUACCCCGCUGUUCUGACGGUACCCAAAGAAUAAGCACCGGCUAACUUCGUG
rnacentral:rRNA from 1 species